AUCCAGGGGUGAGAUGUCGGAAGGGCACGCGUGAUGCCUCACGGGAGCUGCCGCGUCUCGCAUCCCGGUGAUGAUGCACAGCUUUGACAAGAGAAUAUUGGAAUAACCGCAUUUUUUUGUGUGUGUGGCCAAUCUAAUGGGUCCUUUGCAUUUCCAUGUGAGUUUUAGAAUACGGGUGGUACAUCCCAGCUGGAAUGUUGAGUCUCAGAAGUUUCUAUCGUCACAUCCUCAAGCUCAGAGAUUCUUUCUGUGUCUGCGGCCAGUCUACAAAAGAGCCCACCUGAGGCCUUCCUCAUGUCCGUCACCCCAUUUAGGAUCUCUAGCAUUUCUUUGUUUUCUUAGAAUUUCCACCUCUCUGCUUGCAUUGUCCAUGUGAUGUUAUGUGUCCUUUAUCGGUAGUUAAAAAAGAAAAUCCUGGUCUGAUAAUCCCGGCAUCCCUGCUAUGUCUGUCUUUGGCUCAAACUGUGCCUUGGCCUUUGCUGUUCUGGGAAAGCAGACACGAUGACCUGUGGUCAGUAGGGCUCCAGUGAUGGGGUGUGGGGGAGGGCAGGGAGGCCUUCUCCAGGUCUGUGAUUCCGUCUGGCUUUGGUUGAGCCUGUGGCCGCAGACUCGGAAUUUCCCCAGUGCUUCUUCGUUUCCUCAGGUGGGACGGCGUGGCUAGAGGGAGCUGGAGUGUGCUACAUCCCUUCCUCCAGAUUUCAAAGAAGACAAGGAUGUCUGCUCUAUCUAUUUUUAUUUAAAAUUGCACUGGAGAUGCUAGUCAGUGCAAUAAGGCAAGAAAAAGAAACGAAGGUAUACAGGUUAGAAGGGGUUAAAGAAGGAGAAAUCUCUAAAGAGGAAGUUGUGUCUGAGGCUGACAGCUUGGAAGUCAUCUUAAUCCAACGAGCGUUUCUUGUCUCUUCCUUAAAAUG